rnacentral:rRNA from 1 species
CAAGGACGUCCUCUUAUGAUCAAGAGCGAAAGUCGGGGGAUCAAAGAUGAUUAGAUACCGUCGUAGUCCCGACCAUAAAUGAUGCCGACUGAGCGUCGGCGACUCUGAUUUUGGCCGAACGUCGGCGCUCUUGAGAGAAAUUAAAGUCUUUGGGCUCCGGGGGCAGUAUGGUCGCAAGUCUGAAACUUGAAGGAAUUGACGGAAGGGCACCACAAGGCGUGGAUGUUGCGGCUUAAUUUGACUCAACACGGGAAAGCUUACUAGGUUUGGACACUUGAAUGAGGGACAUAUUGAAGCUCUUACCUUUUUUUGUGGAUGGUGGUGCAUGGUCGUUCUCAGCCCGUGGGUUGACCUGUCAGGUUUACUCCGGUAACGCGCGAGACCUCGGUUUGCUAAAUAGACGCGGCUGUMUCGGCACCCGCGCUCUUCUUAAAGAGAGACUUGGCGCGAGUCAAGGGAAGUCGAGGCAAUAACAGAUCUGUGAUGCCCUUAGUUAUCCUAGGUCGCACGCGCCAUACAAUGUGGCGCACAAAGAGUUUCCUUGGCCGACAGGAGCUCCCCGGCGGGCGUCGAGGCGAGGCGCCGAUCGCGGGGCGUCGCCGUUCGAUUCGGACGAGGCCCUCGUGUCGGAGGCCGCCGCCGAGACCCCUCGGGGGGUCGCUGGGUAAUCUGACAGAGCCCUACGUGACUGGGCUAGACUAUUGUAAUUGUUGUGCUUGAACGAGGAAUGCCUAGUAAUCGCAGGUCAUCAUCCUGCGAUGAUUCGGUCCCUGCCCUUUGUACACACCGCCCGUCGCUCCAUCCGUGGCAUGCGYCGGUGAAGAGGGGGAGGCAGCGUCGG